GGUGUUAUACCUGCGGGUCUCUCUCUCUCUCUCUCUCUCUCUCUCUCUCCCUCUCUCUCUGUUUGGUUCCUCGAGGAACAGGAAAGAGACGCGCGCGCUGUGACCGAGCCUAGUUUUCCCCGGAGAUAAAUUCAUUAUCUGUAUUUUUGGUUUGUUUUAUUGUUGCCAGUGUUUUGUUUUUUUCCUCGUAUCCUCACUCUCUGUCAGUUUGAUGGGAUCCGCGCUCUGCCCGGGCCGUGAACAUGCCGGUGAUGAAGGGACUGCUCGCGCCUCAGAACACGUUCCUGGACACCAUCGCCACGCGCUUUGACGGCACGCCAGAUUGCAGUAAAUUACCUGUCCUCCUGCCUGAAGGUACGGACUACAGAAGCAACUGAGAAGCAGCUCGGAUUUGGUUGGACUCAUUUCUCAGCUUGUCUUAUUACAGCAACUUCAUCCUGGCUAACGCACAGGUAGCAAAGGGGUUUCCCAUAGUUUACUGUUCAGAUGGCUUCUGCGAGCUCACGGGUUUCGCACGCACUGAGGUCAUGCAGCAAAGCUGUGCAUGCAGGUUUCUUUAUGGGCUCGAGAGCAGCGAACACGCCAUCCUGCGUGUGGAUUCUGCCCUUGAAGAGCGCAGCGAGCUUAAAGAGGAGAUCAUGUUUUAUAAAAAGAAUGGUUGUGUGUUCUGGUGUCUUCUGGACAUUGUGCCUAUUAAAAACGAGAAAGGCGAUGUUGUUCUCUUCCUUGCUUCAUUCAAAGACAUCACAGACACCAAGGCAAAAGCCAUUCCAGUUGAAAAGAAAGAAGAGCGUCAUCAUGGUCAGAUCAAAGGUGGAUCUCCAUUCAGCGCCGCUCGGGUUCGCUCUAACACGGUCCUCUACCACAUCUCAGGACAUCUCCACAACCGGCAGAAACAAAACAAAAUCAAACUCAAUAAGAAUGUUUUCGGGGAUCCGCCAGCUCUGCCGGAAUACAAAGUUGCGGAUGCCAGGAAGUCCAAGUUCAUCCUCCUCCACUUCAGCACAUUCAAGGCUGGCUGGGAUUGGCUAAUCCUGCUGGCUACUUUCUAUGUGGCUGUGACUGUGCCGUACAACGUGUGUUUUAUUGGUGAUGAAGACUUGACACGCAGCACCACUGUCAGUGACAUCGCUGUGGAGAUCCUUUUUAUCAUUGACAUCAUGCUUAACUUUCGCACUACAUAUGUGAGCACGUCUGGUCAAGUGAUCUUCGAUGCACGGCAGAUCUGCAUCCACUACAUGACCACCUGGUUAAUCAUCGACUUUGUGGCCGCAUUGCCCUUUGAUCUCCUCUAUGCCUUCAAUGUUAGCGUGGUCUCAGUUGUGCACUUGUUAAAGACAGUACGUUUGCUGCGCCUGCUGCGUCUGCUGCAAAAAAUGGACCGCUACUCUCAGCACAGCACAGUGGUGCUCACCCUGCUCAUGUCCAUGUUUGCCCUGCUGGCCCACUGGAUGGCCUGCAUCUGGUACAUCAUUGGAAAGAAGGAGAUGGACAGCAAUGUGCGUACCACUUGGGAUAUAGGUUGGCUGCAUGAGCUGGGAAAGCGUUUGGAGCUCCCUUAUAGCACAGUGAAUGGCUCAGCUAACAGCGGUCCUUCACUGCGCAGUGUCUACAUCGCUUCACUUUACUUCACUCUGAGCAGUCUGACCAGUGUGGGCUUCGGCAAUGUCUCCGCUAACACUGAUGCUGAGAAGAUCUUCUCUAUCUGCACUAUGCUUAUUGGAGCACUCAUGCACGCUCUAGUAUUCGGUAAUGUGACAGCCAUCAUUCAGCGCAUGUACUCACGCUGGUCCUUGUACCAUACACGUACUAAAGACCUGAAGGACUUCAUAAGAGUGCACCACCUGCCGCAGAGCCUCAAACAGCGCAUGCUAGAGUACUUCCAGACUACCUGGUCUGUCAACAAUGGCAUCGACUCCAAUGAGCUCCUGAAAGACUUCCCUGACGAGUUGCGUUCGGACAUCGCCAUGCACCUGAACAAGGAAAUUCUGGAGCUGGCUGUGUUCUCAUCUCUGAGUCGUGGUUGUCUGCGCUCUCUGUCGCUGCACAUAAAGACAUCAUUUUGUGCGCCUGGAGAAUACCUCUUGCGGCAAGGAGAUUCACUGCAGGCCCUCUUCUUUGUCUGCUCUGGCUCCAUGGAGGUGCUUAAGGACGGCAUGGUGCUUGCUAUUCUUGGUAAAGGGGACCUGAUUGGGGCCAACUUGUCUGUGGAAAACUGGGUGAUAAAGACAAGUGCAGACGUGAAAGCACUGACAUAUUGUGAUUUGCAGUGCAUUAAUCUGCGGGGACUGUAUGAGGUGCUGCACCUGUACCCUGAGUACUCCCACCACUUUGUCCAGGACAUCACUCAAGACCUCACCUACAACCUCAGAGAGGGGCAGGAGAGCCAUGUGGAGGGGAGGAGAAAUGGAAGCUUGAACCAACACAGUGGAACCAUAAACUCUCAUCAACAUGAAGAAGAACUUUGCAUUCAACACAAUGCAGUUACCAAACCUGACCCCUCUAAUCUCAGUCCCAGGAUUGUUGAUGGUACAGAAGCUAGUGAAGGAACAGAGACAGAGAACUCUUCAGCAUUCUCUUUCUUUCCUGGUCACCAGAACAGUUCAGCCAACACAACCACCAGCAAUACAGGUAUUCUGCAGGUAAGCUCUGCUGAGCUAGCAGCAAAAUCAGAAGAGACCAGAGGGCAGUUAGGCCACCUGGACCAAGAGGUAAGCGCCCUUGGACAGGAAGUAGCUGAACUGGGCCGGGUAAUGAGGAGCAUUGCUUUUCUCAUCGAAUCCAUGAUGGCUAUGCCACAACCGGCCAAUAUCUAUAGCCCUCGCUGCACCCAAGGACAUCCCACACAGGCCAUUACUCCUGAGGACCAGGUCAUACCUUGGAUUAAUCGGCUUCCUUCCCGACAGGUGCAAACUGGGUUACCUCCUGGAGGAGUUGCAACAAUCACAGCACAGGAACUGUAGGUUGUUUGCACCUCAGAUAUUUUAUUCCCUGAUGCCAUCACCAGUUCUCCAUUUAUAGACCUCUCCCCCUCUGUUCUGUUGUCCCAAUCAGACAUUAAUAGAUCCAGUACGCUAAGAAGCAGAUCCCAAAGCCUGAAAACUCACACCACUGGAACAUUACUUUGUAUCUCCUGAACAAGGGACAGGUCACAGUCCCCUGGGUUUAUAGCAACAAAACAUGAAUGUACAAUCUCCAGGUAAUCCUAAGUGAGACCAUGAGGCAUGUGAACUAUGACUCAGAGCAGUGUGGAUGAAGGCACAAAUUAAAGCCAUUAACACUUAUUAAAAUGCACAUUGAAUAGAAGGUAUUAAAUGAAAUAGUGGUGCCGGUUUAUAUUACCACUCUACUGGGAUAUUAGAUGAUCAUUAUCAUAUUCUGUCCCUAACCAGACCACUCUUAAAUUCAAGGUCUAAACAAAUUCAAUAUGAUUGUGGCUGAAGUCAAGGCUGGGCCUUGACUAUAAUGUAAUGGAGAUAUAUAUAUAGCCUAACCCAUUUCAAAACAUUGUGGAUUUAAAUCUCUUCCAAUAUACACAUCCCUCUAAUAGAUGAUUUUGAGCAAAGUAUUAUUUAUACCGAAGAAAGGGUUCUCUGCAGACAGUAACAUGCAUUGCAUCUUGUCUGCAUUUUUGGGGGGUUUGAAAAUUCAGAAGAAGCUGCAGCUUUUGUACAUCACACCAUUUCGUGUUUCUCUACCUACCUAUGAAUGAUCAUUCAUUCAUGUUUGACCAUGAAAAUAGUACAAACACUAAAAAAUGCUGUGUGCCCAACCGAAAUAGCAACACGUUUCCAUUAACUGGCAAAUAACACUUGCCAAAAUGGAGGCCUUGAAAAAUGCUCAUAAUAAAUGCACUGAACCUGUGAAAGAAGCCUUCAGAAAACUACUGUAAAGACAUUUUUAUUUAAAAGGCUUCUGGAGUUUAACGAACCUUUUGAAAGCAUGCUUGUGCACAAACUCAGUACAAUGUUUGUACUGACCUUUACAGUCAAUUACUAAGACCAAGGUUUUUAAACUUGGGUGCAUAUUUAUUAUCAGCACAGUUUUAUUAUCUACGGUCUAUUUAUGAAUGCCGUCACAAAAAUCUUUUCAGUUUUUGCGUGUUUUCUUUUUUAGGCGCAUGUGUAAUGAGUGGGCGUGGCAUAACAAUAGGUCAUUGAGACUCCAUAUAGAGUUAUUCAGUAGGCAUGACAGAAGCAUGAAGGUCAGCUUGCCAUUGUGUGUUUGUUUCCAUAUUUUCUCUUAAAAGAAAUAGCAGGGACGUGUCUUACAUGGGGUGUGUGUGUGUGUGUGUGUGUUUAAGUGGAGAGGCAGUGUUGAUGAAGAUGGAUAAACUUGUUGGUAGAAAGAACGGUGCUUGUGGGAGGGGAGUGCUUGCCCUUUCACUGUGCUUUAGCUGUGGUCCUGGGAGGCCGGCUAUUGGUCAUGUCACCACUGACUGUGUGGCGCACUGACUGCUGUCUUUUCCUGUUUUGUCCUUUUCCUCUCUGCCUUUCAUAUUAAUCUCUCUCUCUCCCCAACUGCAUGUUAGCAUUUCUUAGCAAAUUUUCUAUUUAUUUGUUUCUUUACAUAAUCUUAAUAGAAUUUACCUGCAUCCUAGUUUUAGAACUGUCAAAAAGUCAAUAUAAUGCAAUAAUAUAUUAUAUAUUACAGCAUUUUGCAAUGCUCACUGCAACCCUGUUGCAAACACAGACACUCCUACUCUGUCCCUCUUCUACUGGAGCAGCUUGUCCCAGAAUGAUAACACUGCUAAAAAAUUUAUGAAAGGUAUCGCUACUGUAGCAUUUUGGUCAGAUUUUUCCUUCAAGUGUCAGACUCUUCUCAGUCUUUUAACUGGUAAGAGAAAAACUUAAUAUUGGGAUUUUUUUAUACAUAUUUAUGAAAAUCACAACUUAAAGAUGUAUUUUUAUACCUCUGAUACCCAGGAACAGCCCGGGCAUUGGUGUUUUUGGGGUCAGAUGGUGGGUAAUGCUGGAUAAAAUGUGCAGUGUCUGGCAUACAGGGUACAGUGUAGUGCCAAUUACACUCUCACUCUGGCCGUGUGACUCUCUGGCCUGCUGGGUAUGUAAUUGAAUGAUUAAUUCUCUGUUAUUUAAUAUUAAUAUUAGUCUAUUAAGGUAAUAAAUGAGUACUCCUGUUAAACUGAUAUAUGGGAUUGUCCUCCUUAUUUUCUCUUCUACGUCUUUCAUACCAAAAGAUGGAAAGCACACACAUGGUUAAAGUACCUGAUAUGCAACUUAUGUCAAUCAUAACAACACUUAUGACAAUCUAAUUGUCCUCCUCCAAUGAAAAUGCCAAAAUACUACAGGAACGUAGAGAUUCUGCACACAAACAUAACACUGAGCACCUGCGUUCUUAUUUUAUGGAGUUUUAGGCUUACUGCUAUUUCAGGGGUUUGCUUAUUCUUAUGUUUUCUCAUGUGUGGUAUGUGGGAGAAUCAUUUAGUGUUUGUGUUUUAGAGUCUGUAAGGGAGGUGUCUUAAGUCUAAAGUUGGGGCAUUUGAACCUUGAACUGAAAAUGCCAAAGAGGAAUGCCAGAGCAGGUGGAAGAGACAACUAAACUCCAGCACAACACAUGGCUACACUGCUAAUAAGACCAUCGCUGAAUCCAGAGAAAUUACAUUUUACAUUUACAUUACAUUACUGAAAUCAGAAAUUACGUGUGCUUGGAAGAGACAGAAGUUAUAUUCUAAAUGGCAGGUUGACAUACACAGAGAAAAAAUGGAAAGGGAACAUAUGAGGAAAAUUAAUAUAAAUAUGAAUGCAAUAUUUGAACAGUGGCCAAUUUGAUUGAGUAUAAAUUACUAGAGGGUAACUAGACAUUACAAUAGCUGAGUGUUAACCCUGUCAAAUGCAUGCUGAAAGCUGAUUGGCUGGUGGCAGCCAUGUUUUUACAUAAUCAGGUCAGAUUAGCAGUAUACCAGAUUUCAGCUCAAACAGACUUAUGCAAACUCAGUUAAUUCUGCUCUCUAUGGAUGACCACACAGCAAGCUUUAUGGACAUUGUGAGAAUCUUGCCCUGAACAUGCCUGUCAAGUUUCAUGUUUUGAGUAAAUAAGGAUUGGCUCACUGGUAUUUAUACUAUAAGGGAGAAAAAGUUAGUCUGUGCCUGUCCCGGUAGCAGAUGCACUGCCAUGGCUGAGCUGUAUUACUGGAAGAUUUAGGUCGUUCUGCUCUUAGGAGGCGCUCUUUCACCAUUUACUCAUCAUUUUGUUGUUUUCUGUCAGCUUUCUGCCUUUUAUGGAGUUUUGUGAGCGUAACUAAAUUAGCUGUGUUGUGAUUGCGCUUGGCAAGUUGCGUGUAAUGGAGAUGGAUGCUCAUUUCCAUCAGAGGCUCAUCAGAGGAUUCAGCUCUGUGGCAGCUCCACCAGCCUCCUUCCUAAGGGGAAAACCGAAAUUUCUCAAGUGGAACGAAAGAGUAGUGCAAGUUUUGCAGAAGCUCAAAGAUUGUUUCACCAGUGCACCUAUACUCCACCAUCCAGACCCAUCACUGCCUUUCGAAGUAGAGGAAGCUAAAACCCGCUGAACGCAGCUACUAUGUGAAGAACAGGAAUUAAUCCAGGUUAAAGAAAUCACUGCGGGGAUUGGGAAGUUUUUAACUGCAGAUAUAAGUCCUGUGCUUCAGCCACGCCUCCUUGAGAAUCACACAAGUAAAAGUAGGUCCAGAGUGCUACUGUUAAAUCAGCCAUGUUUAAUUUGCUUCCUAAUGCACAGCUUUCGUUUUGUUAUAUGCAUGAAGAAUGAAGUCUGAAUGGAUCACUGUUUCAUUAAGCUUCCGUUAUUGUACUGUUAUAAUGCUGAAUGUUUUAAUCAAUUGAAAAUGGAAAACUAAGGCACAUAUUCAAGCAAUGCUUAUUUAUACUGUAUUGAUAAAGUAUUGUAUCGAAUUUGAGUUUCCCGAAUCAUUACACUCCUACUUAUUUAUUCUAUAUCCUAGUUAUUAUUUACAAUUGUACAGGUUUUCUGGAGCUGUUUAUUAGAUGGAUAAAUUAAUGUGGGAUGGGUUUCAUUAUGAGUUUUGCAGUUACAUUAACAUCAGUACAGUGUGAAUGAGCUUGGUCAGGGGAGACCAGUCUUAUCUGUAAAGGACUGUGUGGCUGAAGGGUUUUAUUCCAAACCAACAGGAGCACACCUGCCAUAAAAACCUUUGCCACACCAGGUCAAGGUUCCAGCAAUCACAGACAGGCAAUUUAAUGUAGCCAUUUACUGCCAUGUUUUUUCUGGAGGUGAGAGGAAACUGGAGAACCCAGAUGGAACCCACAUGGACAUUGGAAGAACAUGCAAAACAGAUAGUAGCCCAAGCUGUGAGGCAGCAGUGCUACCCGCUGUGCCACCAUAUCGCUCCUGAAUAAGUCCCUGGCCAAAAAUAAAUGGCAAAACUUUCUGGAAAUAUUAAUUUAUCACAAUCUUUUUCUUAUUCUUUAAAAAAGGGAUUUCCAAACCUUUCUUGUAUUAUAAUUAUGACAUUUUGUUAGCACUAACACUGCAUUUUGGUUCAACUCAGUAAGAAGGUUUUAAGUGUUUUAUGCUGAAUGCCAGACAGAUUUCCCUCACCAGUUAAUACCUGUACUGGGAGCAGUGAUGUGUCUGGGACUGAAGAAUAGCUGUCUUAUUACAGCAACUGAUUCCUGACAGACUAAUCAGACACUUCCCUCUGAACUUAGUGAAAAAAUAAUCAUUUUGCCAACACGCCUGCUUUCUAUUAUUUGUGUGUUUGGUGCCAUCAGUAGCUCAGCAACAUUAAUGUAGGUGUGUAAAAUGAAUAUCAUUAACGUUGAGAAGGAGUGAGGGGGAGAUGGGGAGCGUUUCAGGUUCUUCUUUAUGUGGAGCGACACCUAGUGUUCAAACUAGGAACCUUUAAAACUUUCUUAAAGGUGCAGCAGUAGAGUUAUUUAUUUCUUACUUGUACCAAUAACCUGGAAAACAUGCAGCACAUGAUAAAACAUAAUGGUUUAAGCAAUUGUUUGGAUUGGCCUCCUGUCAGUCAUUUUGUAGACACGCCCCAACGCCCCUUCGCUCCGCCCCUUCGCUCCGCCCCCACCGCAGCUUGUUAGGAAAGAAAAGAAACAUGACUUAAGGACAUGAAAUGCAGUAACACCAGGAUAAACACUGGUAGUGCUUUUCCAAUAUGGAGUAUUUUAUUAUUUAUGAAGGAAUGAAGCUGGAUGUGCAGUUAGAGAUGCUGCUCAUUGACAGGUCUGUAAACACAACCUGUAUAAAGCUCUGAACUGUUUCAGUGGCUUCUUCACAGAACCAAUGCAGCAGACAGGUUCUUCACCUAGAGAGUCGUGUAAGGACUAUUUCUAGUGCUGUAAUUUGCCUAUCAAGCUGUUGAUUGGGCAAGAGGGCAAACUGUUUUGUAAGUAAGUAUUUAAAAAAAAAUACUUACUUUAAAUAUGUAGUCAGCAUGGCACUUUUUAUGAAGCGAUGACAUUUUUAUGA